UACCAGCACCCCGAGUGGUCGGGACGAUUAUUGGGCCUAAAGCAUCCGUAGCCGGUUCUACAAGUCUUCCGUUAAAUCCACCUGCUUAACAGAUGGGCUGCGGGGGAUACUAUAGAGCUAGGAGGCGGGAGAGGCAAGCGGUACUUAGUGGGUAGGGGUAAAAUCCGUUGAUCCAUUGAAGACCACCAGUGGCGAAGGCGGCUUGCCAGAACGCACUCGACGGUGAGGGAUGAAAGCUGGGGGAGCAAACCGG
rnacentral:rRNA from 1 species